rnacentral:tRNA from 1 species
UAGAAAGUAGUAUAAUGGCAAAACAGAGAACUUUGACUUCUCAACUACAAGUUCAAAUCUAGUCUUUCUAA